rnacentral:lncRNA from 1 species
GGGGGAAGGGAGGAGAAGUUAGGGUGACCCUCCCCCCAGUUCCCUGCGGAAGAAGAUCGGAGGCAGCUGCCGCUGGGAAAGGUCAAGUUACGUGAAUGGCCUCUAGACCUUGGAUGCUGGCCUAGCUACUGACC